rnacentral:rRNA from 1 species
CAGCAGCCACGGGAAUACGGAGGUCCCGAGCGUUGUCCGGAUUUAUUGGGCGUAAAGCGAGCGCAGGCGGUUUGAUAAGUCUGAAGUUAAAGGCUGUGGCUCAACCAUAGUUCGCUUUGGAAACUGUCAAACUUGAGUGCAGAAGGGGAGAGUGGAAUUCCAUGUGUAGCGGUGAAAUGCGUAGAUAUAUGGAGGAACACCGGUGGCGAAAGCGGCUCUCUGGUCUGUAACUGACGCUGAGGCUCGAAAGCGUGGGGAGCGAACAGGAUUAGAUACCCCUGUAGUCCCUGUCUCUUAUACA